rnacentral:rRNA from 1 species
GACGAACGCUGGCGGCGUGCCUAAUACAUGCAAGUCGAACGCAGUGGGGACGGGUGAGUAACACGUGGGUAACCUCCCAUCAGAGGGGAUAACACUUGGAAACAGGUGCUAAACCGCUACUGAUGGAUGAACCCGCGGUGCAUUAGCUAGUUGGUGAGGUAACGGCUCACCAAGGCCACGAUGCAUAGCGGACGUGAGAGGGUGAUGGGCCACACUGGAACUGGGAAACGGCCCAGACGCCUACGGGAGGCAGCAGUAGGGAAUCUUCGUCAAUGUACGAAAGUCUGACCGAGCAACGCCGCGUGGUGGAAGAAGGUUUUCGGAUCGUAAAACUCUGUUGUUAGAGAAGCGGUAUCUAACCAGAAAGCCACGGCUAACUACGUGCCAGCAGCCGCGGUAAUAC